rnacentral:lncRNA from 1 species
UGCCAGAGCAAGCAAGAGGCCAUAUCCAUGAACUCUGGGACUGAUGGAGAAACCCUUCCUUCCUCAGUGAAUAUGAUUAGAAGACAUAGGCUGACUCCCAGUGUCAAACUCAGGGACUCCAUGCACACACACCCCUGCAUGCUCCUGCACAUACACUUGCAAACAUGAGCACACACACUUCAUACAUCCACAUGGAAAUGGGGGUAAGAGAAACGAGAGAGUACCCGGCUCAUGGUUCCUCUAGGAUGGGCCCACCCUGCCCAGGACUUAGAAGCCCUUUCCACACCUAGCAGGACCACACCAUUUCUUCUGCCUGUUCUCUCUCUUGUACGUGUGAACAAACGGGAUGUGUCAUCCACCAUGGGGCUGUGUGCGCACUCCUAGGGCCUCUUGUGCUCUGACCUCCCUGUCCUACAUGGAUGCCCUCGGCUCAAAUAUCACCCGAGAUUCUUCCACGGUCACCGACUCCGUCAUUCUAGUUUGUCUUCAGGAAUCAUCACUCACUUGUUUAAUUAUUGUUUAAUUCUCGCUCCAAUGCUUUGCUUAAUGUAAAUCCCAUGGCUGCCCCUUUGAUUUCUCCUGUCUUCCCUUGUCUGGCACUAACAAGACGUCAAUAAAUUCUUGCCGACUGAAAGAAA